GACGAACGCUGGCGGCGUGCUUAACACAUGCAAGUCGAACGGAAAGGCCCUGCUUGCAGGGUACUCGAGUGGCGAACGGGUGAGUAACACGUGGGUGAUCUGCCCUGCACUUCGGGAUAAGCCUGGGAAACUGGGUCUAAUACCGGAUAGGAGCCGUUUUUAGUGUGAUGGUUGGAAAGUUUUUUCGGUGUAGGAUGAGCUCGCGGCCUAUCAGCUUGUUGGUGGGGUAAUGGCCUACCAAGGCGGCGACGGGUAGCCGGCCUGAGAGGGUGGACGGCCACAUUGGGACUGAGAUACGGCCCAGACUCCUACGGGAGGCAGCAGUGGGGAAUAUUGCACAAUGGGCGCAAGCCUGAUGCAGCGACGCCGCGUGGGGGAUGACGGCCUUCGGGUUGUAAACUCCUUUCGCUAGGGACGAAGCUUUUUGUGACGGUACCUAGAUAAGAAGCACCGGCUAACUACGUG
rnacentral:rRNA from 1 species